GGUUACCUUGUUACGAACUUCACCCCAGUCAUGAAACACAAACUGGUAAUGCGUCCUCCCGAAGGUAAAAGCUUACCUACUUCUUUUGCAUCCCACUCCCAUCGUGUGACGGGCGGUGUGUUCUAUGCCCGGGAACGUAUUCUCCGCACUAUGCUGACCUGCCAUUACAAUCCAUUCCAACUUCAUGGAAGUCGAGUUGAAUACUCCAAUCCGGACUACAACUACCUUAAAGGGGUCGGGUCACA
rnacentral:rRNA from 1 species